AUUGAUCGCUGGCGGCAUGCCUUACACAUGCAAGUCGAACGGCAGCAUAGGAGCUUGCUCCUGAUGGCGAGUGGCGAACGGGUGAGUAAUAUAUCGGAACGUGCCCUAGAGUGGGGGAUAACUAGUCGAAAGACUAGCUAAUACCGCAUACGAUCUACGGAUGAAAGUGGGGGAUCGCAAGACCUCAUGCUCCUGGAGCGGCCGAUAUCUGAUUAGCUAGUUGGUGGGGUAAAAGCUCACCAAGGCGACGAUCAGUAGCUGGUCUGAGAGGACGACCAGCCACACUGGAACUGAGACACGGCCCAGACUCCUACGGGAGGCAGCAGUGGGGAAUUUUGGACAAUGGGGGCAACCCUGCUUCAGCAAUGCCGCGUGAGUGAAGAAGGCCUUCGGGUUGUAAAGCUCUUUUGUCAGGGAAGAAACGGUUCUGGAUAAUACCUGGGACUAAUGACGGUACCUGAAGAAUAAGCACCGGCUAACUACGUGCCAGCAGCCGCAGUAA
rnacentral:rRNA from 1 species